AAACCACAAGAAGAAGUAAACAAACAUGGCAUAAUUUAUCUAUCAAAUCAAGAGUUUUCCCCCGAGAUAUUUUGAACGGUUUAACGUAGUUUUAUUUUUUAUUCCUAACGUACUAAAAUUUUUCCUGAGUUCCGUGUGCAUUAUAUCAAUGUAAAUUUUGUUUUCUUUUUUGAAAUUGAACGCAUGGUAUCGUUAUGUAACCUUCACCUACAUAUGUUUCACGGUUCUUCUGAAAAUUGCUUAUAAUGGACCUUGAAACGGAAAGGUUUUCAUAGAAGUAUUGCCAACCAGUCAGAAUCGGCCAUGCCCCGUCGAAACGUAAUACAUGUGCACUUUGUGAACCGCCCUUUUAGAAAUAAUCUCAGCAAUAACAAUCAACAAAAUCCUAUAAUCUAUAUGAGGGAUAAUUUAUUCCAUGAACUAUUCAUCCGAUUUGCAUUGUUUUAUGGCCGAAUAUUUUCCCAGACUGAGAUGAAGAUCAUCGAAAUGAUAUUUUUGACUAUGGUAUGUGUGAUAUUAUUAUUAUUAUUUAGAACUGACUGUGAUAUGUGUUAUAUUAUUAUUGUUUAGGUAUUAUUGUUUGUUCCAAAGUACUCAUAUUAAAUUGGAAAUUUUGCCACAAUACUUGCCACUUAUUAAAAUCACCUGUGUAUGAGGUGUGACACACACACGCACAAAAAAAAAAAAAAAAAAAAAAAAA